rnacentral:rRNA from 1 species
GGCUCAGGAUGAACGCUGGCGGCGUGCCUAAUACAUGCAAGUCGAGCGAGAAUCAAUUGAACAGAGAUUCGUCAACGGGAUAUUGAGGAAAGCGGCGGACGGGUGAGUAACGCGUAGGCAACCUGCCCUUAGCAGAGGGAUAGCCAUUGGAAACGAUGAUUAAAACCUCAUAAUGCUGUUGGGACACAUGUCCCUGCAGCCAAAGAUUUAUCGGCUAAGGAUGGGCCUGCGUCUGAUUAACUAGUUGGUGAGGUAACGGCCCACCAAGGUGACGAUCAGUAGCCGACCUGAGAGGGUGAUCGGCCACAUUGGAACUGAGACACGGUCCAAACUUCUACGGAAGGCAGCAGUAAGGAAUCUUGCACAAUGGGGGAAACCCUGAUGCAGCAACGCCGCGUGAACGAUGAAGGCCUUAGGGUUGUAAAGUUCUGAUCUGUGGGAAGAAGAAGUGACGGUACCACAGGAGAAAGCCCCGGCUAAAUACGUG